rnacentral:rRNA from 1 species
GACGAACGCUGGCGGUGUGCUUAACACAUGCAAGUCGAACGGUAAGGCCCUUUCGGGGGUACACGAGUGGCGAACGGGUGAGUAACACGUGAGUAACCUGCCCUCAUCUCUGGGAUAACAGUCGGAAACGGUUGCUAAUACUGGGUAUGAGCUUGCAAGGCAUCUUGUGGGUUGGAAAGAUUUUUUUUGGUUGGGGAUGGACUCGCGGCCUAUCAGCUUGUUGGUGAGGUAGUGGCUCACCAAGGCUUCGACGGGUAGCCGGCCUGAGAGGGCGACCGGCCACAUUGGGACUGAGAUACGGCCCAAACUCCUACGGGAGGCAGCAGUGGGGAAUAUUGCACAAUGGACGGUAGUCUGAUGCAGCAACGCCGCGUGCGGGAUGACGGCCUUCGGGUUGUAAACCGCUUUCAAUUGUGACGAAGCUUUUUUGUGACGGUAGCAGUAGAAGAAGCACCGGCUAACUACGUG